rnacentral:rRNA from 1 species
AUAGCUGGUCUGAGAGGAUGAUCAGCCACACUGGGACUGAGACACGGCCCAGACUCCUACGGGAGGCAGCAGUGGGGAAUAUUGGACAAUGGGCGCAACCCUGUACUAGCCAUGCCGGGUGAGUGAUGAAGGCCCUAGGGUUGCAAACCUCUUUCAGCGAGGAGGAUAAGGACGUUACUCGCACAAGAGGCCCCGGCUAACUUCGUGCCAGCGGCCGCGGUAAUUCGAAGGGGGCUAGCGUUGUUCGGAAUCACUGGGCGUAAAGCGCACGUAGGCGGACUUUUAAGUCGGGGGUGAAAUCCCGGGGCUCAACCCCGGAACUGCCUUUGAUACUGGAAGUCUUGAGUCCGAGAGAGGUGAGUGGAACUCCGAGUGUAGAGGUGAAAUUCGUAGAUAUUCGGAAGAACACCAGUGGCGAAGGCGGCUCACUGGCUCGGUACUGAUACUGAGGUGCGAAAGCGUGGGGAUAA